rnacentral:rRNA from 1 species
UACGUAGGGUGCGAGCGUUAAUCGGAAUUACUGGGCGUAAAGCGUGCGCAGGCGGUUCUGAAAGUCAGCUGUGAAAGCCCCGGGCUUAACCUGGGAACUGCGGUUGAAACUACAGGACUAGAAUCUGGCAGAGGGGGGUGGAACUCCACGUGUAGCAGUGAAAUGCGUAGAGAUGUGGAGGAACACCGAUGGCGAAGGCAGCCCCCUGGGCUGAGAUUGACGCUCAGGCACGAAAGCGUGGGGAGCAAACAGG